CUCAGACACUGGCUUACCUGAAGGGAUAAACCAUGAAUAAACAGGCUUAACCCUACCACUGAUUGCUCUGCUCAUGUACUUUGGUUCCAGUCCAGUCCAGAAAGCCUCAGAUUGUUCGCUGUUGAUAGGACAGCAUCACCUGAUGCUUUCAGCCUAUCAGUAGCUCUCCAUUCACAAAACAUAGUAAAAAAAGGUAUGUAUCUUCAAUCAGGAGGCCUCUGACUGGAACAGAAAUAAAGGGCCAAAGCAAUUGAAGACUUUGCGGUUAAUCCCAUUUUAUUGGAUAAGUAGUUUUGCC